AAUGACGGAAACAUUGAUUUUAAAUUAGAAGGAGCUAAUGCAUUUGUAAAAUAUGCUCCCUUUUCCUUGGGGGAAUAGUUCACACCCAGAGAGAACAACUGGCCUCUACAGACUGGUGGUGGCCUUUGGCCAGACUGUUAAUUGCCUGAGCAUUUUGUGUAUUCCUGACCACCUAUGUCUCCUACAGCCCACCCCACCAGGAUAAAUCCUCAAGCCCCGCCGAAUGAGAACAUUCCGCAAGCAGCUACAAACUAAGGCUCAUGGGAUGAUUUAACAAAAAAUUAUUGGCAACAUUUAAAGUGCAGCACUGAGUGUGUGGGUAGAAACUGCAAUUGUACAAACAAAACUUUGGGACUGUAAAGAUUCUCCAGUCAUCCUCUGACCUGGCUGAUGGAGCCGGUCUGCAGAACUUGCAGACGGGUUGAUUUUUGCACGGGCUGCAACUUCGACAUACAGAAUUUACGGCUUCUUUGAGGAACCAAUUUUCAAGCUAAAAGAAAAAAUGAAAGUGUUCGCUCAUCUUUCGAAAAAUAUUUACGCGCUUAGUGUGUUCGCCACUAUCCAUUUGGGUUCUCAGUAAUAAAUACAGAAUGUGA